GACGAACGCUGGCGGCGUGCCUAAUACAUGCAAGUCGAACGCAGUGGGGACGGGUGAGUAACACGUGGGUAACCUCCCAUCAGAGGGGAUAACACUUGGAAACAGGUGCUAAACCGAUACUGAUGUAUGGACCCGCGGUGCAUUAGCUAGUUGGUGAGGUAGCGGCUCACCAAGGCCACGAUGCAUAGAUGAACUGAGAGGGUGAGAGGCCACACGGGGACUGAGACACGGCCAAGACGCCUAGGGGAGGAAGCAGGGGGGAAGAUUGGGCAAUGGAAGAAAGGCUGAAGGAGCAAUGCCGCGUGGGUGAAGAAGGGUUGCGGGUUGUAAAGUUCUGUUGUUAGAGAGGCGGUAGCUGACGAGGAAGCACCGGCUAACUACGUGCCAGCAGCCGCGGUAAUAC
rnacentral:rRNA from 1 species